AGUCUUAUAGUUAAAAUAAUAAUAUUAAACUGCAAUUUUAAAGUUAAAUAAAAAAUUUAAGGCUU
rnacentral:tRNA from 2 species